AAGUGCCAAACUAAACACUCGAAGUGCCAAAAACAAACACAGACAAAACAAAGUCACCAUGUCAAAAACAACCUUAAUUUGCUUCCUCCUCCUCCUUACCACCAUCUCCGCCACCACCCCCGCCUACCCCACGAUCCCCGGCACGGAGGAAACCACCGCCACAGCUUCCGAUCAACACAAUUUAAACCCAGUACGCAGAGAAGUGUACGGAGAUGGCAGAAUUUUCGAUAUCAGUCAUAGAUACACUACAAACAUGCCAUCUUGGGGCUCCGACGACGGUUUGGGACAGUUUCUUUCGCUUCCGGCGAGCAUGAAAAAUGGGUCUCAUGCAAAUAAUUCGGAGAUGAAGUUGCCGUGUCAUACUGGGACCCAUGUUGACGCUCCUGGGCAUGUUUAUGAUCACUAUUUUGAUGCUGGGUUUGAUGUUGAUACACUUGAUCUUGAAGUUCUGAAUGGACCUGCUCUGGUGGUUGAUGUUCCAAGGGACUCCAACAUAACUGCUGAAGUUAUGAAAUCGUUGCAUAUCCCCAAAGGUGUACGGCGUGUGAUUUUCAAAACACUGAAUACCGACAGGCAGCUUAUGUUCAAACGUCAAUUUGACACGAGCUAUGUGGGAUUCACAAAGGAUGGAGCGCAAUGGUUGGUAGAAAACACAGACAUCAAGAUGGUUGGAAUUGAUUACUUAUCUGUUGCUGCCUACAGCGAUUUGAUUCCGUCUCAUCUUGUUUUCCUAGAGGGCCGGGAGAUCAUUUUAGUGGAAGGACUAAAACUUGAUGACAUUCAACCUGGAAUAUAUUCCGUCCAUUGCUUACCUCUCAGGUUGCUCGGUGCGGAGGGGUCUCCUAUAAGAUGCAUUCUCAUCAAAUGAUCAUUUUCUUUUGGUGGUUCAGACUUUUGCUAUUUCUGGGGUAAUUGAUUCUCAAGGAAAAAUGAUGUCUCCAUUAGUUUGAGCAGAACAAGACAGUUAAUGACCGUAAAUGAUCAUAACUUUGGGGCAAGAUGCUAUGUGCAGGCAUAGUUAAUUACUAAUAACUCCCCGACGUUAGGUUAAAUUUAUUAUUUCCUUUUGUAUUUUAAAAAAUUAUUGUUUCUUCUGAUAUUUAGGUAUUCGAUUACUGAAUCUCUCCUCGUAAAGGUCUUUAGUUACGUGAAAUUAUAAUGCUAGAGAGAAAUAGCUAUAUUAACUUAAUUUUAAGGGGUUGAUAGUAAUUAUGUGUAUUCUCUAUGGUGUACCAGAGGUAAAAUACAAGAUAUAUAUCUACUAUUUACAAUAACUACUAGUUAUAAGUUUCGUUUU